UUUGUUUUUGAAUUUGUUUUAGUUAGUGCAAAAGGUCGUGUAUAGUUUCUUAACUAAAUAACCUAAGUAUUCGAACGCACAAGAAGAAAGCAGAGAACUGGAAUAAGAAAUGUAGUGGAACCGAUGAUAAACUAGUCGAAUUUUGGGUAAAUAAAGAUCGUACGUGAACCGCUUGAGAACUAGAGAAUGGUCACCUGUGGUCCAGGCAUACCCAACUUUAAAUGGAAUUAUAAUUCGGGACACAUGUGUUCAAAUGUAACAUUUGCGGGAGCGAAACGCAAGACGAAUUUUCGUGUUUAUUUGGUUCAAAAUUACAUUCGUUCCUCGUUAAUCUCGCUAACGUGUCGUAGCGAGACGCAAGCCUAAUUUUUUGUGUUUAUUCGGUUCAAAAUUACAUUCGUUCCUCGUUAAUCUCGCUAACGCGCCUUAGCGAGACGCAAGACGAAUUUUUUGUGUUUAUUCGGUUCAAAAUUACAUUCGUUCCUCGUUUAUCUCGCUAACGCGCCUUAGCGAGACGCAAGUCGAAUUUUUUGUGUUUAUUCGGUUCAAAAUUACAUUCGUUCCUCGUUUAUCUCGCUAACGCGCCUUAGCGAGACGCAAGUCGAAUUUUCAUGUUUCUUCUUUCAUGUAUAUAAUCGACAUUAAACACUGUUUUUCGGACCGAGCAUUAAUUCUGUCAUAGUGUACAAUAUGCGUGACGUCAUAAUUACCUAGAUUUCAAAAGCCUUCCUUAAUACAUCGAUAAGUUGGCCGUUUGCGCCAAUGCAAUAAAACAUUCUAAGGUACCAGUAAAUAUUGUACGUGUUGCACUCGUGUUUUGUGUACUAUACACGAGUGUAUAACGCUCACAAUAUAUACCGGUACCAUAAUGUACUAUUAAAUAUGUUGAAUCCAUUUACAAAUAUAAUUGAUGAUCA